UACGUAGGGGGCAAGCGUUGUCCGGAAUUAUUGGGCGUAAAGAGCGUGUAGGCGGCCAGAUAAGUCCGCUGUGAAAUCUCGAGGCUCAACUUCGAGCUGUCGGUGGAAACUAUCUGGCUAGAGUCCGGAAGAGGAGAAUGGAAUUCCUGGUGUAGCGGUGAAAUGCGUAGAGAUCUGGAAGAACACCGAAGGCGAAGGCAGCGUUCUGGGAAGCAACUGACGCUCAUGUGCGAAAGCCAGGGGAGCGAACGGG
rnacentral:rRNA from 1 species